rnacentral:rRNA from 1 species
ACUGGGCGUAAGGGUCUGUAGGUGGUUUGUUAAGUCAGAUGUGAAAGCCCAGGGCUCAACCUUGGAACUGCAUUUGAUACUGGCAAACUAGAGUAUGGUAGAGGAAUGGGGAAUUUCUGGUGUAGCGGUGAAAUGCGUAGAGAUCAGAAGGAACACCAAUGGCGAAGGCAACAUUCUGGACCAAUACUGACACUGAGGGACGAAAGCGUGGGGAUCAAACAGGAUUAGAUACCCUGGUAGUCCACGCUGUAAACGAUGAGUACUAGCUGUUGGAUUCGGUGUAAAGGAUCUAGUGGCGUAGCUAACGCGUUAAGUACUCCGCCUGGGGACUACGGCCGCAAGGCUAAAACUCAAAGGAAUUGACGGGGACCCGCACAAGCGGUGGAGCAUGUGGUUUAAUUCGAUGCAACGCGAAGAACCUUACCUGGUCUUGACAUCCUGCGAACUUUCUAGAGAUAGAUUGGUGCCUUCGGGAACGCAGUGACAGGUGCUGCACGGCUGUCGUCAGCUCGUGUUGUGAAAUGUUGGGUUAAGUCCCGCAACGAGCGCAACCCCUAUUGAUAGUUACCAUCAUUAAGUUGGGUACUCUAUUGAGACUGCCGCUGACAAGGCGGAGGAAGGUGGGGACGACGUCAAGUCAUCAUGGCCCUUACGACCAGGGCUACACACGUGCUACAAUGGGUAUUACAGAGGGCAGCGAAGUAGCGAUAUGGAGCGAAACUCAGAAAGGUACUCUUAGUCCGGAUUGCAGUCUGCAACUCGACUGCAUGAAGUCGGAAUCGCUAGUAAUCGCAGGUCAGAAUACUGCGGUGAAUACGUUCCCGGGUCUUGUACAC